rnacentral:rRNA from 1 species
GCUGAAACCCGCCUCCAUGAAGUUGGAUUCGCUAGUAAUCGCGCAUCAGCCAUGGCGCGGUGAAUACGUUCCCGGGCCUUGUACACACCGCCCGUCAAGCCAUGGGAGCCGGGGGUGCCUGAAGUUCGUGACCGCAAGGAGCGACCUAGGGCAAAACUGGUGACUGGGGCUAAGUCGUAACAAGGUAGC